AGUGAAAUUGCUGGAUCAUAUAUGGUAAUUCUGUGUUUAAUUUUUGAGGAAUCACAAUAUUCUUUUCCAUAGUGGCCAUGCCAUUUUAUAUUUCUUCCAGCAAU
rnacentral:pre_miRNA from 1 species